UACGGGGGGAGCAAGCGUUGUUCGGAUUUACUGGGCGUAAAGGGCGCGUAGGCGGUCAGUGCAAGUCAGUUGUGAAAUCUCCGGGCUUAACUCGGAAAGGUCAACUGAUACUGCUCGACUAGAGUGCGGAAGGGGCAACUGGAAUUCUUGGUGUAGCGGUGAAAUGCGUAGAUAUCAAGAGGAACACCUGCGGCGAAGGCGGGUUGCUGGGCCGACACGUGACGCUGAUGCGCGAAAGCUAGGGGAGCGAACGGG
rnacentral:rRNA from 1 species